CGGGAUACCCGAGGGAAACUUCGGUUAAUACGGUAUAAGACCACACUACCGCAUGGUAGAGGGGUAAAAGGGGCAACCUGGUAUGAGAUGGACUCGCGUCGCAUUAGCUAGUUGGUGAGGUAACGGCCCACCAAGGCGACGAUGCGUAGCCGACCUGAGAGGGUGAUCGGCCACAUUGGGACUGAGAUACGGCCCAGACUCCUACGGGAGGCAGCAGUGGGGAAUAUUGGACAAUGGAGGAAACUCUGACCCAGCAAUGCCGCGUGAAUGAAGAAGGUCUUCGGAUUGUAAAGUUCUUUAGUCAGGGAAGAAGUCAAUGACGGUACCUGAAGAAUAAGCUCCGGCUAACUACGUGCCAGCAGCCGCGGUAAUACGUAGGGAGCAAGCGUUGUUCGGAAUGACUGGGCGUAAAGGGUGCGUAGGCGGUUGUACAAGUUAGAAGUGAAAUACCCAGGGCUUAACUCGGGUGCUGCUUCUAAAACUGUAUGACUUGAGUGCAGUAGAGGUUAGUGGAAUUCCUAGUGUAGCGGUGGAAUGCGUAGAUAUUAGGAGGAACACCAGAGGCGAAGGCGGCUAACUGGACUGCAACUGACGCUGAGGCACGAAAGUGUGGGGAGCAAGCAGGAUUAGAUACCCUGGUAGUCCACACUGUAAACGAUGGAUACUAGAUGUAGGAGGUAUCGACUCCUUCUGCGUCGCAG
rnacentral:rRNA from 1 species